rnacentral:rRNA from 1 species
ACUCAAAGGAAUUGACGGGGGCCCGCACAAGCGGUGGAGCAUGUGGUUUAAUUCGAUGCAACGCGAAGAACCUUACCUACCCUUGACAUACUGAGAAUCCUGCAGAGAUGUGGGAGUGCCGAAAGGAGCUCAGAUACAGGUGCUGCAUGGCUGUCGUCAGCUCGUGUCGUGAGAUGUUGGGUUAAGUCCCGUAACGAGCGCAACCCCUAUUCUUAAUUGCUACCAGGUAAUGCUGGGCACUCUAAGGAGACUGCUGGUGACAAACCAGAGGAAGGCGGGGACGACGUCAAGUCAUCAUGGCCCUUACGGGUAGGGCUACACACGUGCUACAAUGGGCGAUACAGAGGGUCGCGAAGUCGCGAGACGGAGCUAAUCUCACAAAGUCGCUCGUAGUCCGGAUUGCAGUCUGAAACUCGACUGCAUGAAGCUGGAAUCGCUAGUAAUCGCAAAUCAGAAUGUUGCGGUGAAUACGUUCCCGGGCCUUGCACACACCGCCCGU